rnacentral:misc_RNA from 1 species
GAGAGACCCUCUUCUUUUUCACCCUUAGGUUUUUCAUUUCUCUAAUAAAAUUGGAACCCCAUCGAAAUUCCAAACAUCGUCGCCGUCGUCGUAGCCUGCAUUUUGUUGUUAGAGCUCAGAUUUCUCUGAUUCAAGUUCAUCGAUCCUUUUCGCUGAGAUGAGUAGCAGUUCAGGCGAAGAAUCAGACUUGAGUGACUCUGAAAUUUUUGAGUUCAAAGAGAAGCCUUAUGAAGAAUUAAGAACAGGAAAACUGAAAGUUAAGGGUCCAAAUGGGUCCCUUAGAUGUCCCUUCUGUGCAGGGAAGAAAAAGCAAGACUACAAGUACAAAGACCUUCUUCAACAUGCUACAGGGGUUGGCAAGGGUUCAGCUAACCGAAGUGCUAAGCAGAAGGCAAACCAUUUAGCACUUGCAAAAUAUCUGGAAACAGACCUAGUGAAUGAGGCUGAGCCAAUACCUAAACGUGCUGUGACUCCAGAGCAUUCAGAAGCUGAAAAAGAUAAACUGUUCUUUUGGCCUUGGACUGGGAUUUUCGUUAAUGUAUCAAAGGAAACAGCAAAUGGAAGAUCUCCAGAUGACAAGGAGUAUUGGUUAAAAAAGUUUUCCAUGUAUAUGCCUUUGGAAGUUAAGCUUUUCUGUGAUAACCAAGCCAGAGUCUCCGAAGCUAUUGUGAGAUUUAAUAGUAAUUGGACUGGUUUUAAGGGUGCGAUGGAAUUUGAGAAGUCUUUCGAAGCCUCUCACUGCAGCAAACAAGAGUGGAAAUCCCUUAGAAAGUGCCCUGGUCCAAAUUUAUAUGGGUGGGUUGCUCGAGAAGAUGAUUAUAAAGCAGAAGGGGCUUUAGGCGAAUAUCUGCGAGAGACGGGGGAGCUGAAGACUAUCUCGGACCUUAUGAAAGAAGAAACACAGGGUAGAAAGAAAGUUGUAGCAAAUCUAGCCAAUGAAAUUGACAUGAAAAAUGAAAAUCUGGAU